CCGCUAGGAGUACACAGUAGUUUUGUUCUGUGUUCAUUCCAUAGGUUCAUUCAUAUUUCGAGAAAGAAACGUGCGUGCGUGAGUGAACGUGUUAUACCUACUCCGCGCUGCUGCGGGUUGAUUUUUUAUAGGUAUUAAAAAAUCAACAUUUUAUAGUUCUGGCGGAAAUGCGUUAUUAAAUAGCAGUCAUGGCAUGAAACAGUUAUUGUGGUUUCAUGGCCGACUCUUGCAUCAACUUGUAAACUACACUACUGCUGCUUCAGGAACUGCUUUGUUCAUCCAGAUAUAUCUGGGCUAUAUUUUCAUCUUAGUUUUAUAUCCAUUCAUAAUACUCACUUGUUCACAAGUACAAUAUAUUGCAUAGGUAUUUAUAUUGCAUAUAUUUCAUUAUGAAUUAUUAUUAUUUGUUUUUUACUUCAAGUGUACAUAAUGAUCAUGUUGGUUGAUUUAAAAAAAAAAAAUAGGGAAAAAUAUAGCAAAUCAGAUUUGUGUUGCAUGGAUUUUCAGGAGUGACAGUUGUUUGUAGCUUUGAGUAUUAUAAUAUUAAGAAACUUAAAAUUGGAUGUGAGGAAGUCUCUGUGAAGGUCUAAUUUCUUAAUAAGUUGAAUAUUUCUGAAUAGUUGGAAAAAAUAGUUAAUAAUAACUUUUAGUAUAUUUAACUUACAGGUUGACAUUCUUACUUAUAUUACUUACUUUACUAUUUUUAUAUAAAUAUGAAAAACUAGUUGUGUACUGUGUAAAGGUAACAUCGAAAGUAGAUUCAAUAAAAGAUCAUUUUGUAAUUAA